AGAGACUGUCUUUAUCCAAAUGGUUUUAGUAAUCUGCUCACAGGCUAGAAAUCCACGGACAGAAAAAGUAAGUAAACGGAGCCCAGGAAUAGAGAAGGAAGUGCAGGUUGUGGACUGGGCAACCCCCAAGGCGGCAAAGAGGAAACCAGGACAGGGUCUCGGUCUGUUACCCAAGCCGAAGAGCAAUGGGAUGAUCAUAGCUCACUGCAGCCUCAGAUUCC
rnacentral:lncRNA from 1 species